AACGAACGCUGGCGGCAGGCUUAACACAUGCAAGUCGAACGCCCGUAGCAAUACGGGAGUGGCGGACGGGUGAGUAACGCGUGGGAACGUGCCCAAAGGUACGGAAUAACUGCGGGAAACUGCAGCUAAUACCGUAUGUGCCCGAAAGGGGAAAGAUUUAUCGCCUUUGGAGCGGCCCGCGUCGGAUUAGCUAGUUGGUGGGGUAACGGCCUACCAAGGCUUCGAUCCGUAGCUGGUCUGAGAGGACGAUCAGCCACACUGGGACUGAGACACGGCCCAGACUCCUACGGGAGGCAGCAGUGGGGAAUCUUGCGCAAUGGGCGAAAGCCUGACGCAGCCAUGCCGCGUGAACGAUGAAGGCCUUAGGGUUGUAAAGUUCUUUUGCCCGUGACGAUGAUGACGGUAACGGGAGAAUAAGCUCCGGCUAACUUCGUGCCAGCAGCCGCGGUAACAC
rnacentral:rRNA from 1 species